rnacentral:rRNA from 1 species
GAUCAUGGCUCAGGAUGAACGCUAGCGGCAGGCCUAACACAUGCAAGUCGAGGGGCAGCACGUUAAAGAGUUUACUCUUUAUGGUGGCGACCGGCGGACGGGUGCGUAACGCGUAUGCAACCUGCCUGACACAGGGGGAUAAUCCGAAGAAAUUUGGUCUAAUACCCCAUAAUACCGAUAUAGGCAUCUAUGUUGGUUGAAAGCUUUGGUGGUGUCAGAUGGGCAUGCGUUGUAUUAG